rnacentral:rRNA from 1 species
ACGAACGCUGGCGGCAUGCCUAACACAUGCAAGUCGAACGAGACCUUCGGGUCUAGUGGCGCCCGGGUGCGUAACGCGUGGGAACCUGCCCUUAGGUUCGGAAUAACUCCCCGAAAGGGGUGCUAAUACCGGAUAAUGUCUUCGGACCAAAGCUUUAUCGCGUUUGGAUGGGCCCGCGUUGGAUUAGCUAGUUGGUAGGGUAAAAGCCUACCAAGGCGACGAUCCAUAGCUGGUCUGAGAGGAUGAUCAGCCACACUGGGACUGAGACACGGCCCAGACUCCUACGAGAGGCAGCAGAGGGGAAUAUUGGACAAUGGGCGAAAGCCUGAUCCAGCAAUGCCGCGUGAGUGAUGAAGGCCUUAGGGUUGUAAAGCUCUUUUACCCGGGAUGAUAAUGACAGUACCGAGAGAAUAAGCACCGGCUAACUCCGUG